rnacentral:rRNA from 1 species
CUGAGCUGGUCAUAUCAUCAUUCCCAGCUGGCAGCCCACUGAAGAUAAGCAGGUGUGAGCCUGGUCAGUACCUGGAUGGGAGACCUCCUGGGAAAAACUAAGGUUGCUGCUGGAA